rnacentral:lncRNA from 1 species
CCAAAAAUCCUCUCGGAUCCCUCCCUCCUUUUACACUCACAAACACACAUCACACACAAAAAAAAAUCUCUCUCUCGGCCACUUCUCUCCCUCUUUCUCAAAAUUUUCUUACAAUAGAACACACCCACUUCUUCCCCUCUCAAUUUCUCUCACACACACAAGCCAACAAGAAGAUAGGAUAAGAAAGUGAAGAAAAGGAGGCAAACAAAGGAAACAGAUGGACAGUUAAUGCUUGGAGAUUUCAUCAAAAACAUCGACCAAGAGACUACCACAUUCAUUGGGGCAUUUUCUAAAUUUUUAAUCCUAUUAAAUCCAUGUUUUGUUGUUUAAUUUUCUCUUAUUUUUGCUGAUUUCUUUUGUUGUUAUGUUGUUAAAAUUUUGAGAGGGGUCAUAAACAAGAUUAAGGAAAAGAAGAAUAGG